CGGGGUGUAGCGUAGCUUGGUAGCGCAUCCGCUUUGGGAGCGGAAGGUCGCAGGUUCAAAUCCUGUCACCCCGA
rnacentral:tRNA from 1 species